rnacentral:lncRNA from 1 species
GAUCCUCUAGAAAGGAAGAAGUUCUGUAAUGAAGCGGCCUUCUACUUCGGAAAUUUGGAAAAAUGGUCAUCACAGGUUUUAAAAUGUCUAACCUCUCAAAAUGAAGUGCUCCGCAUCCACGAGAGAGCUGGGUUUUUAGUCUCAGAAGCAGGUGCUAUCUUCUAUACUCAGUCAGGGACCAAAACCUUGCUUCAUCGGCUUCUGGAAAUUUUUUUACUUCCCCACAAGUGCGUGACCCAGCUUACGUUCUUCACCCAUUUGUUGCAAAGGGACUGCAUCAUAAUUUGAAUCUGUUCAUUCAAGGAUUGGUAAGACUAGGUGCUCCUAACGACCCAUACCUUUUUAGUACUAUCAAAGACUCUCUGAGCUUAUUGAUGCCACGUUUAAUACGAAAUCAGGUGCAUUGAACGACACAUGUACCACGUUUUCACUCCUGAAAUGUUUCACCGAAUGCUUAAUAAUGUUGCUCCAAAAGAGGACUGUUGUAUCAUCAUAUUUCAAAUUGUUGUUGAAAGACUCAUAAAGAAACGAUGUCGUAAAAACGAGCCUAAUCACACACUUCAAGCUAUAGCAUUCAUUGCAGAUGUGGCCUCCAUCAACAGGAAUCGGGCUCAUACGGUACAGUGCAUUAUUGACUGUUGUCUUGAGUCUAUUGCGAGCGUUGCCAUGUUCUAUGACAAAGGAGACCCCUGCCAAAAAAACGCAGAGCGCUUGAUCAAUGGGAUUCUCACUAUCCAUAUCGUCUCAACUGAUCCCAAUAUAAGGUUGAGCGCCAUGAAUUUAUUCUCUAAGCUUUGCAGAGACCACUUAGCUUUCUACAGUCUCAAGCUGUUCGAUCUGUUUGCAAUGAUCGCUGGUAGAGUGCCCACAUUGCUCAAUCACUUCCUUCCGCAACUCAUUCAACAUGUUGAAACAGUUGAGAAAAAACGAGGUGUCACUUAUGAUAGCUCUCUCAGAGAUAAAGGAAUCAAACGUAUUGAGCAAAUUUUAUCAGUGGCUGAAACAAGUUUUGAUGGCAUGAAAACCGUCAUUAUGUUACCAUGGCAAAUUGCUGCAAAUACUACAAUUUUUACCUUGCUAUGUGGAUUGUCUCUGAUGAGGACUAGAUUGAGGAUGAGAGUGUCAUUUGCUGUGUUAUUGCACGCACACUUUAAAGGAAAGACGUCGUCAUGAUUCUGAGGACCUAUGCAUUGCCUCUGUAAACCCCAUGAAGUAUCAAUGCUUAUAUUUCUUAGCUCUUUAUUUCUUUUAAUAUUGCUGUAUCAACUUUUCAAACAGUAUCAACUUUUUCUGAAGAAUUUUUUUUCUUUAUUUUUCCAGAUGAUCAUUAAAGCUUGGGUAGUAUUUUACAUACAACUCUUCUGGUAUUUCCCACUGGAUACACUCACAACUUUCAUUGUGGUAAAGUCUCAUAUCAGCGUAAGGAGUAAUUACUUAACUCUAAUGUAAUUUUUGAAUGUUAUUAGAAAAGAUAACAUCAUUUUGUUGGAGCAAUCGAAUCAAGUUACCUAGCUAUUUAUGUUGGUUUUCAAGUACAAAUUAAGUGUAAUGAUAACUUAUGUUAAAGGUUCUGAUUUCCUAGGAAUUUUUUAGUCACCUGGAACCUUUAAUGAUUUGUCUUCAAUUUGUCUCAAAAUCUCUAGUAAUAUUUUGUGCUUGUGCUUAAAAUACAAAGCACACGCAAGAAUGUUAGGAAAUUGUUUGAAGCUUUUAGAAUACUCACAUUUAAUUUGCGUAGGGCCAUUUUUGUCAAUUUUCAAAACAAUGUUGCGAUUGAUUUCUGAUGGUGUCAGAGACAAAUCAAGUGAGAAG